CCGCCUUCUCCAUCACUCUUGGUUGGAUCAAAACAGUAGAGACAAAAACUGAAACAUGCCCAGGGUGCAGAAGCAGAGAGGAAGAGAUUAUUUAAUGAAGUACGCUAAUGGUGGUGGGGAGAAAGGGGGCUGAUUUUCACAUCUCAGAAUUGUUGAGCCUACAAAUAUUACUGAAAUCACAUUUGGGAACAAAGCUCUGCUUUAAGCAAGUUCAUCCAUGAGUGUUGCUAAGCAAUGGAGAGAAGGCAAGAGAGAGGGAGAGUGCCUGACUUUAGGAUUAUAGAAGAACAGAGAGGAGAAAAGGCACCACGGUUUCUACAUAGCCUUAUUUAUAGUGAACAUUAAAGUUCUGUGUUUUCCUUGCCUGUCUUCCAAACUGUUCAUACCUCAAUUAAUCAGAUCUGGUUCAGUAUCUGUACCAACAUAUAUCCAGCUCGCAGAGGGUUGUGCUGCAUCCUGGAGCACCAGCAGUUACGCACCAGAACUGUUAACAUCUGUCUCCGGAUUAAACAGGGAAUUUAACAGCAGUCUGAAGUCCUACAGAACUGACAAGCUACUCAGUUAGGGAGACUCCAUGCUGGGUGACUCCCAGAAUCUCC
rnacentral:lncRNA from 1 species